AACGAACGCUGGCGGCAUGCCUAACACAUGCAAGUCGAACGAAGGCUUCGGCCUUAGUGGCGCACGGGUGCGUAACGCGUGGGAAUCUGCCCUUUGGUUCGGAAUAACAGCUGGAAACGGCUGCUAAUACCGGAUGAUGACGAAAGUCCAAAGAUUUAUUGCCAGAGGAUGAGCCCGCGUUGGAUUAGGUAGUUGGUGGGGUAAAGGCCUACCAAGCCGACGAUCCAUAGCUGGUCUGAGAGGAUGAUCAGCCACACUGGGACUGAGACACGGCCCAGACUCCUACGGGAGGCAGCAGUGGGGAAUAUUGGACAAUGGGCGCAAGCCUGAUCCAGCAAUGCCGCGUGAGUGAUGAAGGCCCUAGGGUUGUAAAGCUCUUUUACCCGGGAAGAUAAUGACUGUACCGGGAGAAUAAGCCCCGGCUAACUCCGUG
rnacentral:rRNA from 1 species